AGACGGGACCCGCACAAGCGGUGGAUGAUGUGGUUUAAUUCGAUGCAACGCGAAAACCUUACCCACCUUUGACAUGUACGGAAUCCUUUAGAGAUAGAGGAGUGCUCGAAAGAGAGCCGUAACACAGGUGCUGCAUGGCUGUCGUCAGCUCGUGUCGUGAGAUGUUGGGUUAAGUCCCGCAACGAGCGCAACCCUUGUCAUUAGUUGCUACAUUCAGUUGGGCACUCUAAUGAGACUGCCGGUGACAAACCGGAGGAAGGUGGGGAUGACGUCAAGUCCUCAUGGCCUUUAUGACCAGGGCUACACACGUACUACAAUGGCCGGUACAAAGGGCAGCGACACAGCGAUGUGAAGCGAAUCCCGAAAAGCCGGUCUCAGUCCGGAUUGGAGUCUGCAACUCGACUCCAUGAAGUUGGAAUCGCUAGUAAUCGCGGAUCAGCACGCCGCGGUGAAUACGUUCCCGGGCCUU
rnacentral:rRNA from 1 species